rnacentral:lncRNA from 1 species
CUGAAGAGGAUAGAAGUACUUAAUUUUGAAAAGAAGAAAGACACUGAGGCAGUAAUUAAUUGGUAAGUAAUGAUAAACAAAAAUGCAGCUUACCAAGUUUAUCUCCAUGUGUUCACUGUAGGAGGGGAAAUAAUCCAAAUUAUAACGAACAACACAAUGUAAACCCUAAGAGAGGACAACCGGUACACAUCACGCUAAUUAGGUACGUAAGUAGAUGCGAUUUGAAGACUAGAGUAGCCUCUAAUAAGACUAAAUCUGAAGGUGUGGGAGGGAAUGGAAUCCUUUGAUCAGAGAUGCGGAUUUCUGUUAUCACUGGCAAACUUUAAAGAGAAUAUCUCUAAUUACUGCAAGUACUGAAAACGCAUGCUGAGAAUCGAACUUUUAAUCACGAACUCACGACAAUAAUAAAACCUACAUCACAACAGAAGACACGACCAAUCAAAUCACUAGAAGAACUUUUCACGGAAUGCGAAGCGGCACGACCCUUACCGCUGGAUAAGGAACAGAAACUGAGCUUCUGAACUUUCUUUCAAUAAACCAGUCAGCGCCACCAGCGCGCAGCGGCCCAGCAGCAGCGGCCAGCAACCAGUCCGGAGGACAUGAAAUUCCGUCUGUUGAAAUUUGAAAUAUAAAAUGGAAUGAACUAAACUAAGCUCUCUGAUUGGCUGUUAGAGGUCCACCAAUUCCAAAUUCCUGUUUCAUUCGGAAUCGGGUUUGUUGACACGCCGCUUAAGUAUCCCAAAGGGUAUUUUCAUUUUCUAAUUAAAGUUUAAAUCCAGUUAUGUAAUUGGAGGGCCCGGAUGUAAUCAAAGUGUUGUAAGUUCUAUAAAUUUCCAUUCGUAUCCAGUAAAAUAUCUUUGAUGGGUGAAGAAAAUGAACACGGCUCAAAACCCUACGAUCGUCCAGCGGUGAGGUCCAAAGAAACUCUCAACACAUCGCAGUCCUACAAGCAAACCUACCGGAAAGCCUGGGAAGAACUUCCAGAUUUCAAAGGGUGGUUAUCUGCAGAUCCUGAAGGCAACAAAUCUCGAGCUUACUGUAAAGUGUGCAAUAAGACACUUCAUGCCCAUCGAAUUAGUUUACUUAAGCACACUGUUUCCUUGAAGCAUACAAGAGCUUUCCAGUCUUAUGCAACAUCAUCUAGCAGCAUUGAAAUCUCUUACCCUGUUGAUCAUCUUCGGAAAGCGGCAGAAUCUGCUCAAAUUCUCGAAUAUCAGACGGUUAGUGAAGGAGAUUUCAAUGAGUCCUCUCACAGUAAUUUGAACGAAACUCUAGAAGGGGAAUGUUCCAGUAAUCAAAACAUUACUGACACAGAUGCCAUAACAAUCCAAAUCAUGGACCCUUUGCAACAGAACUCCCUUGAAGCCCAUAAUUCUCAAGAAGAAACUGCUCUAAACAGAAAUGAAGUAAGCCAAAAAGAUAUAUUUCAUUUCAAUAAUAUACAAAAUAAACUGAAUUAA